CGGACUGGGACUACUUUCCUCAAUAAAAACGCUCGUAGUACUUUCCUCAAAGUGACUUUCCUUCAAUGUGUGAUCGGCAUGAUAAUACUUGACUUCGUUUGCUCGUCAAGUCGACCUUGAUGAUAAAGGUAAGUGAGUCAAUGAAGUUUUUUCGUAUGUUUUGUACUUUGGACGAAAAGAAAAAACGCUGAUGUUGUACUUUUGAUGAGGGAGGAAUCAUAUUUCAACUCAGUAGAUAAAACCUUGCCUCCCUCAUCAACGAUACAAAUAAGUUGGUUUUCGGUUUUGAAAGUGGAUAUGUGUUGUUCAUUCAUCUAAGUGACGGGGUGCUCUUUCGUACGAGUAUAGAAGAAGUCGGAUUAAACUCGUGGUACGACGCCGACGUCCCAAUAGUGCCACAUGCCACGUACCUGCAUCCUGCCGCUCUCGAGCUUCCUCUUCGCGACCUCCUACUACGAGUCUCGGUAGAAACGAAGGUCGUUGCGUUUCAAGACCGGCUACGUAUAGGCUCCUGGGGGAGGUUUUCCUUUCUUACGGCGGCCUACGAAGCGACGUAAACUCUACGGUAGUCGUUUGGAGACACCUAACUUAAGGGAACGUAGAAAAGGGGUUUAUAG
rnacentral:rRNA from 1 species